AUUGAACGCUGGCGGCAGGCCUAACACAUGCAAGUCGAGCGGAGCGGCGGACGGGUGAGUUAUGUAUGGGGAUCUGCCCGAUAGAGGGAUAUAACUACUGGACACGGUGGCUAAUACCGCAUACUCUCGGAUGAACCCAUAUGGGAUUAGCUAGUAGGUGGGGUAAAGGCUCACCUCGGCGACGCUCCGUAACUGGUCUGAGAGGAUGAUCAGUCACACUGGAACUGAGACACGGUCCAGAAUCCUACGGGAGGCAGCAGUGGGGAAUAUUGGACAAUGGGCGAAAGCCUGAUGCAGCCAUGCCGCGUGUGUGAAGAAGGUCUUCGGAUUGUAAAGCACUUUAAGUUGGGAGGCGUUACCAACAGAAGAAGCACCGGCUAACUCCGUGCCAGCCGCCGCGGUAAUUC
rnacentral:rRNA from 1 species